UGCGGGGUAGAGCAGCGGCAGCUCGUCAGGCUCAUAACCUGGAGGUCGUGGGUUCGAAUCCCACCCCCGCUACCA
rnacentral:tRNA from 1 species